UAUUAGAGAGGAGGGUAAAUACGAUAUUAGAGAGACCUCCUGCCACCUUGCCUGCCGUGUUAUCCAACAAGCCCUGAAGGACGGUGUUAAACUAGGGAACAAAGUUGCAUACCUGGAAUACACGGAGGGUGGAGAGGAGGGACUGAAAGAUUAUAUUCGGUCCAAAAUGUGGAAUCCACUUUAUAGACCUCUAGUGUUCUUACCAUCAGGGAAGGGACAAUAAAGAGGACAACAAUAAAACAAGGACAAGACUGAGGACAAAAAAGGACAAGAAUGGCUCUCACAAGCAUAUAUAUCCCCGUACCCCUGCUGCCUUAAAGAAUAAUUAUAAAUGUUAAAUUAACUGAAAUCUUGUAAU